GUGGGGGAGACUAAUGCCUUCCCCGGCUGCUGAUCUGUGCCUGAGCUGGCUAGGUCUGUGAGCCUCGAAGGUCCAGGAAGCCAACACAAACACGCUGAUUCCCCUGAACUCAUUAAAAAGAGUUUGGUUGGGUUAGAGAGAAUUCCAAUUAUUGCUCCUGGAAAACACAGCCGGGUCUAACAGUUCAGAUAUGUGACAACAGACUGGAAGCGAGUGUUCCUUUUUCAGAGAAACAAAAUGUUGACUCUUGUAGGAAUCCUAUGAGAGAGAGAUUUUUAAAUACUCAGCACAAAAGAUCUUCAGGUUGGGUAUUCUGACCGGUACCUGGGAUGUGAAGAAGGUAAAUUCAUUAACCAGAUUGUAUUUCAGGCCAGAAGAGGAAUGUCCUACGUGAACGUGAUUUAACAGCUCCAUCGCCUGGGGCCACGUGGAAUUCUUGAAGCAGCUGUGUCAGACAUCCGAGUCAAGUUGGGGCAUGAGUGACCUCUCAACAUCUAAUGGAGCAUUUACUCCUUAGGCAGUUGAUGACAAUAGUUCUCCAAACCUGCUGAUCCCAAGGUGGCAGGUUUCCCGGUCAGCUGUGGCUCUGAAGUAGGAGGGGUUUGCAGGAGUAUCACACACAGCUGUAGAAGGAACAGAAUCAGAGCUGGAGAGGGAGAAUUGCUCCAUGGCCAUGAGUGGGUGUCCUCUCAAGCGGAGCCCCGAGUCCAGUAGAACUUGAGGCUUUUCGCCAACCCACGAAGUGCAGAUGGUAACGCUUGCUGUUGUGUCCCUGAGACUAUAUAGGGCCUAGUGUCUGGUUUAUGCCCUUGCACUGGGUCACUCUCACCCUGGAAUCACCCGGCUGGGGACUGAACCUCUCCUGCCACCACUCCAACUCCUCCUGAGACACUCACCUCCUAAGACACUCACCUCCUGGAAAGGCCACAUCUGUUUGCCAAGGACAGAGGCACCUUCUUUGGUCCAGAGAGCUGCAGGCUGUGGUUUAUUUCGCUGGCGACCUCUUCAUCACCAGGACUGUUCCAUAGAGUGCUGUGGUACCCGUGAAAGCCAAACUUCUAAGCUUCUCAAGUUCAAAUGAUAACUUCUCUCUGUUACCUUUUGUCAAGAAAACUUUGGAUUAUGAAUCUCCGUUAUGGGGGCUCAUAAAAUGAAUUGGGGUGCAUUCAUAGAGUUGGAACACUCUGGAGCCACUGAAAAGAAUGCGGCAAAGCUGUAAAAAGGAAAGAUGUCUGUGAUAUCAUCUAUAUUCUUUUAUGUUGUUAAGUGACAAAAUCCAGCUGUAGAGGAGCAUGAAUUGUUUUAUUCCAUGUUUAUUACAUAAUGAGUGUAGUGUCGGGAAAGCCAUAUACCAAAUUGUUCACAAUGGUUAUCUUGGGGGAGUGGAGCUUGGGAACUUGUACUCUUUGCUUGAUGCAUCUCUGCUUUGUCUCUCUCUUGAAUCAGCAUGAAUAAUUUUUUAAAAUUAGAAAACCUUCUUAUUAAUAUGGAGGUAAAUAUUGGGGCAGUCCAAGAUGGCAGCGGUCUCACGGUGAGGCCCUUGUUUUAUGGGAAGAACAUGAAGGUAGGAGUUUAAGAAACCCGAUUUUUCUCUUAACCAGGGGUUUUUCCUAAUUUUUUGUGCCAUGAUCCCUCAGGACAGUGUGAUGAAGUUUUUGGCUCCCUUCUCAGAACAAUGCCUUAGGGGCAUAACGUGAAAUACGUAGAAUUACAAAAGAAGCCAAAUAUAUUGAAAUAUAGUUAUCAAAAUACUUUUUAAAAAUUUUAUGAUAUAGUAAUAUAUGUGUAUUAAAAUAUAAGAUCUGGCUGCAGGUCUAAUAACGAUUUAAUUUAAAACUAGCCAUGAGCAUAAGUGAUAUUUUGAGAAAUCUGCAACAGCUGAAUAUUGCAUGAAAAUGUCUGUGACUUCUGGUGACAAAGUCAGAUGUGCUAGUGCUACUGUGGUUUGUCACCUUCUUCAUAAAUGAAGAAAAUGCUAGAUUGUAGUUAGAGGUAGUGAAAAUAAAGACGUAAUUUCCCAUCCAAUAUCAUAGAUCCCUGUUUAAAUUUCCCAGCCUAACAUCUAAUGUUCUUAACUGGCUGGGAAGUGUUGAAUAAUAUUGUUCCCGCCCUCACAGUCUCAACUGUUUCAUCAGUAAAAUGAGGGGCUAAGUGAUGGCAAAUGUGUAUGAUCUUACAUGUCAACUGUGAUUGAUUGGUAGUGACUUGGUGAGGCAUUUUGAGAUCACCUCUGAGUUCAAUUGGAAAGGAUGCCAAUUGGAAAGGAUGAAUGAUUGGUGAUGUCUGCCAUGGGUACUAGAUGGGGGAGAGAGCAAAGCGUGCAUGGCGUACAUGUCCAUUCCUUGACUAGAUGAGCCUGUGGCCCCUUCCACCUCUGAUAUUCUACUAUGUAUGAAAGUAAUUAUUCUCUUCUGAUUCUAAUUUAACAUAUCUCCUGUCCAACAACAAGAGCAACAACACAAGCAUUGGUUAGCCCUUCCUGGGGGCUUUGUGUGUGUGUGGCAUUGGCACUACCAACUCUACCCCUGUGGACCAAGUCUUCUGAUAGACUUUUUAUUAAGUAAAAUUGUAAGCAUUACCUCCAGUUUCAAUGAUAGAAUGGUUACUGGGAACAGAUUGUCUAGGAAGAAAACACAAAUUAGUAAACACAGUCUUACAAAUGAGCCAUCUGGAGAUUUAUUUACAUAAGAAAAGAGGAAGGACUUGGUAUUUUCAUGCUGGGGUUUGUUUCUCUUGCAAGUAGCCACAGGGGUGUAUUUAUCACGAGCACACAUUGAGCUUUUUAGUGAAGAUCACUGAAAGCAUGAAAAAAAAAUGCGCAUUUGGUUGGUUAUUUGGGAAAUGGGAAGGAAGAGAAGGGAGAGAGUAAGAGAGUCACACAUACACAUAUGCACACAAAGUUUUUGAAUGAAUUUUAGCAUAUAAGAUUUCAAAAUAGUUACAAUAUUUCACACCGUGCUUUUGAAAUUUUAUAUUAUUCCCAAAGUGCUAAAUGAGAAACAUUUUUCUAAAACAAUAUCAAAGGUGGAGGCAUUCAGCUAUCACGCAAAUAUAGAGGGGCCACGAAUAAUGCUGAGGGGACCAAAACCUUGACACCAGUUGACCAGCAGUGGGAACAGUGAUCCCUUGACCUCAGAGAGCUCCCUGGGUGUCAGACCAGCUCUGCAGAACCACUUAACCCCUCCUGCACCUUGUCCUUUUAUCCACUAAUACUAAAUGCCAAAAACUAAAAAACCCAAAUUUGUGAUACAGUGAUAUAUGUGCUCUUUCAAUGCAUUAAAAUACAAGAUCUAGCUGUAGGUCUGAUAACUACUAUCAUUUAGAAUUAGCAACGAGCCUAAGUGUUAUUUUGAGAAAUCUGCAACAACUGAAUGUUACGUGAAAACAUCUGUGGUUUCUACUGGUAAUAGAGUCAGAUAUGCUACUGAUGUGCACAGAUAUGCUAUUGCACUGUGCACUUACUGUGGAUCAGUGAAACAACAUAUCUGUAAGUGCACAGUGAAAUAGUUCUCCCUUCUUAGGAAUUUCGGCUACAUAACCUCUCUGGCUUUACGCUCGUACCAAGCCACCAGGAGUAUUCAUCAGAGCAAAGAAAGGAAGAUAGCACAGAGAAGAUAAAAGAGGGACAAGGAGGAUCCCAUAGGUGAAUGAACUCACCAAGCCCACUCUUUUCCCUCUACCCCUGCGUUAGAUGAAACCACACAGGUUCAAGUUGCAUUGCCUGCCGCACCUGCAAAGGGACAGCCUGGGUAAAAAUAGCCCCACUAUAUCUGGGCAAGCACUCUUUGGCCAAUAAAAUACUAAUAAUAAGACAACAGUUGGACUGACUUUACAGAAAGAUAGCUUUCUGCUUCUGGACUGGGCUGGGUUGUAAAGUAUCUUACAUGAUUGCUCUGGAAAUUGUAUAGCUCAGGGCAGCAAAUCUUUAUAGGGGCAAGAAGAGGCAAGACAGAAAGGGCUGAGCAGGUCUACUGCCUCAGGGCUCCUGAAGUCAGAAACCGCUGCAAAGAGGACAGGAAGUGAAGUUGGAAGUUUGAAGAGUGAAUGUAGCUGGAAGGCAGUCAGCAAUUCAGAGCCAUCAGCAUGGAAGAUAAUUACCUGCUGACAGGUCUCUGAUGUGUACCUGGAUGGGUGUGUGUGUGUAUGUGUGUGUGUGUGCAUGCACACAUGUGCAAGCUCUGGUUAACUGUGUCUCUGCAGGCAACUUAAGAGCAUAUUCCACACCCUGUAUCUGGGCAAGAGGCAGGAGGGCUCAUAAAUAAAGAUCCAGAACCCUAAA